rnacentral:ncRNA from 1 species
UCUUAUAAAGAGCGGCGGAGGGAAGUGCCCUAUGAAGCCCGGCAACCAUCACAAAAGUGAAAAGGUGCCAAGUCACGCGAAGUGGAUACUUUGGAAGAUGAGA